rnacentral:rRNA from 1 species
GAUGAACGCUGGCGGCGUGCCUAAUACAUGCAAGUCGAGCGAACAGACGAGGAGCUUGCUCCUCUGACGUUAGCGGCGGACGGGUGAGUAACACGUGGAUAACCUACCUAUAAGACUGGGAUAACUUCGGGAACCCGGAGCUAAUACCGGAUAAUAUAUUGAACCGCAUGGUUCAAUAGUGAAAGACGGUUUUGCUGUCACUUAUAGAUGGAUCCGCGCCGCAUUAGCUAGUUGGUAAGGUAACGGCUUACCAAGGCAACGAUGCGUAGCCGACCUGAGAGGGUGAUCGGCCACACUGGAACUGAGACACGGUCCAGACUCCUACGGGAGACAGCAGUAGGGAAUCUUCCGCAAUGGGCGAAAGCCUGACGGAGCAACGCCGCGUGAGUGAUGAAGGUCUUCGGAUCGUAAAACUCUGUUAUUAGGGAAGAACAAAUGUGUAAGUAACUAUGCACGUCUUGACGGUACCUAAUCAGAAAGCCACGGCUAACUACGUG